rnacentral:piRNA from 1 species
UGGGUAAAGUCUUAAACCAAUUGUGAAGUU